rnacentral:rRNA from 1 species
AUUGAACGCUGGCGGCAGGCUUAACACAUGCAAGUCGAACGAGUGGCGGACGUGUGAGUAAUGCUUGGGAAUCUCGCUUAUGGAGGGGGAUAACCACGGGAAACUGUAUCUAAUACCGAAUACCCUAGUAAGACCCCAAGUGGGAUUAGGUAGUUGGUGGGGUAAAGGCUCACCAAGGCGACGAUCUCUAGCUGGUCUGAGAGGAUGACCAGCCACACUGGGACUGAGACACGGCCCAGACUCCUACGGGAGGCAGCAGUGGGGAAUAUUGCGCAAUGGGGGCAACCUGAUGCAGCCAUGCCGCGUGAAUGAAGAAGGCCUUCGGGUUGUAAAGUUCUUUCGGUAGCGAGGCGUUAACUACAGAAGAAGCACCGGCUAACUCCGUGCCAGCAGCCGCGGUAAUUC